rnacentral:rRNA from 1 species
AACGAACGCUGGCGGCAGGCUUAACACAUGCAAGUCGAACGCAUCGCAAGAUGAGUGGCAGACGGGUGAGUAACGCGUGGGAACAUACCCUUUUCUACGGAAUAGCUCUGGGAAACUGGAAUUAAUACCGUAUACGCCCUACGGGGGAAAGAUUUAUCGGGGAAGGAUUGGCCCGCGUUGGAUUAGCUAGUUGGUGGGGUAAAGGCCUACCAAGGCGACGAUCCAUAGCUGGUCUGAGAGGAUGAACAGCCACAUUGGGACUGAGACACGGCCCAAACUCCUACGGGAGGCAGCAGUGGGGAAUAUUGGACAAUGGGCGCAAGCUUGAUCCAGCCAUGCCGCGUGAGUGAUGAAGGCCUUAGGGUUGUAAAGCUCUUUCACCGAUGAAGAUAAUGACGGUAGUCGGAGAAGAAGCCCCGGCUAACUUCGUGCCAGCCGCCGCAGUAAGAC